rnacentral:rRNA from 1 species
CCUACGGGCGGCUGCAGUGGGGAAUAUUGGACAAUGGGGGGAACCCUGAUCCAGCCAUGCCGCGUGUGUGAAGAAGGCCCUCGGGUUGUAAAGCACUUUCAGUGAGGAAGAACGCCUGGUGGUUAAUACCCAUCGGGAAAGACAUCACUCACAGAAGAAGCACCGGCUAACUCCGUGCCAGCAGCCGCGGUAAUACGGAGGGUGCGAGCGUUAAUCGGAAUUACUGGGCGUAAAGCGCGCGUAGGUGGCUUGAUAAGCCGGUUGUGAAAGCCCCGGGCUCAACCUGGGAACGGCAUCCGGAACUGUCAAGCUAGAGUGCAGGAGAGGAAGGUAGAAUUCCCGGUGUAGCGGUGAAAUGCGUAGAGAUCGGGAGGAAUACCAGUGGCGAAGGCGGCCUUCUGGACUGACACUGACACUGAGGUGCGAAAGCGUGGGUAGCAAACAGGAUUAGAUACCCUGGUAGUC